AUGAUGAUAAAACCCUGAGUGGUGAGGAAAGAAGUGGACACCUGCCCAGCCAGCCAGAUGAGAUGGGUGCACCAUCUCAGCCAGAUGAGAGCACCCCUAGUGCUCAGUGGGGUGGCAGAUGUCACAGACAGAUCAUCCCCACAUCAUUCAGGGAUUAUGAGAUGUCCAAGAGUCACUGUUCUUCAUGACUCAUGGAAGUCUCUAGAACACUGCUGGUGCCUUCCUUCCUGUAAGAAACUGGCCAAGCCUAUGGGCUGUCCAGCUAGUAGUUGCUGGCGUCCUGGGAACGUUGAGGCACCUGGCCUCAGAGCUAGUCACUGGCCCACGACUGCCGGAGGAAAAUGCCGCAGGGACAUCCAGGAAGCUAGAGCAACUGCAGCCCUGCCAGCCACUGCUUCCUGCCAGCGAGGCUCACCAGCAGAUGGACGACACAUGUGAGCUUCGAUGGCUGUCCCCUCCUCUGCCCACCUGCUUCUGAGGACCUCCUGCACCUUACCUCAGCCGGCACAACUCUCUUACUUCUACUGUGGCCUGAGGGCCUGUGUUUUGACCCAUGCCAAGACAAGUGGUCGCAAUCUGUAGGUUAAAGUCCAGAGCUCCCGGCCACCCCAGUGCAGCUUUCUUCAGUGAGGUUUUCAACCACGUGGCUAGUGAGAUAGAUUGGGCCUAUACAAGAGCCACCGAGCCCUUUGUAGUGGGUUUCUGGAAGCCAGGGUUCCCGGCCCAGAGUUACUUUGAACAUGCUAUGUGGUUGAGGACAACAUUAGAUUUCAUGCGUGAAGCACUCUGCGGUACCAGGUGAGGAUGGAACUUAGGGCGUGUUACACAAAUACUCUACCAAAUGAGCUAUAUCGCAGGACCCUGAGCUGCAGCUGUUAAGCACUAGCCUAGGUUGCUUGGGCACCUGUGAUGUCAUCAUUGGUCGCCACUCACAGGGGCGUGGGAUAAAAGGACCCCUGCCUCUUACCUCUCUCUCCUGGUCUCCUCUCUUGCUCUCUCUGCUUUUCUUUCUGUCCCUCUGUCUCUCUCUACCUCUGCCCUCAUGGCUCACUCAGGCCCUAACUCUCUUCUGCUUCUCUUCUCCCAAAUAAAUAUCUUUCAUAUCAAGUCUGUCA
rnacentral:lncRNA from 1 species